GAGGGUAUAGCUCAGUGGUAGAGUGUAUGCUUAGCAUGCACAAGGUCAUGGGUUCGAUCCCCAGUACCUCCA
rnacentral:tRNA from 1 species